rnacentral:rRNA from 1 species
UACAGAGGGUGCGAGCGUUAAUCGGAAUUACUGGGCGUAAAGCGCGCGUAGGCGGCUUUGCAAGUCGAUUGUGAAAUCCCCAGGCUUAACCUGGGAACUGCAUUCGAGACUGCAUAGCUAGAGUAUGGGAGAGGGAAGUGGAAUUUCAGGUGUAGCGGUGAAAUGCGUAGAUAUCUGAAGGAACAUCAGUGGCGAAAACGACUUCCUGGACCAAUACUGACGCUCAUGUGCGAAAGCGUGGGGAGCAAACAGG